GGUUGUUUAGUCUAGUGGUAUGUUGUUCUCCAUUGCAAUUUGGAGUGAAUCCACGUGGUCCCUCGUUCGAUUCCGGGAGGCAGCA